CUGCUGCCUUCUUUCCUUGACAGCUCCACUCCCAGUCUCAACUUCUCCAGGAAGCAGACACUGAAGUGGAGUUGGGAGUGCAAAGAAGAACAAUACAUCCAUUCGAGAAAAUGUGGAAACUCCAGAAAAAGCACAGAGGAGAGGGGAACCAACCUUGAGCUCCCCACCACCUUUCCAGUCUUUUCGCAGACAGCCCUGGGGCUCCAGGGCAGCGGGAGCACGGUAGCUGGAAACUGGUGAAACUGGUGAAACUCUGUGGUUUCUGGCAGAUGGAUCAAGCCCACUUGGACCUGAACACGGGCUCAGAACGCUGACUCAGUAGUUGUGGUGCACAGGCUUACGUGCUCGGAGGCAUGUGGGAUCUUCGUGGGACCAAGGAUCGAACCAGUGUUCCCUGCAAGGCGGACUCUUUAAUCACUGGAACGCUAGGAAAGCCCCUUCAUGAUGUCUUUUGAUGAGAAGUUCUUAAUGUAGUCCAAUUUAUCAACUUCUUUCCUUUAUAAUGUUCAGCACCUUUCAUACUUAUUUUUUAAAAAGACCUUCAAAAAAAUGAAAAAAUGAAUGCCCUGGCAGUCCAGUGUUUAGGACUUGGUGCUUUUCUGGCUGUGGCCCAAGUUCAAUCCCUGUUUGGUAAACUAAGGUCCCAUAAACUGCAUACCACAGCCAAGAAAUGGACAAAAACUUUACAUGUUCUGAGGUUAUAAGCCCGUUUCCUUCUAUAAGUUUUAUUAUUUUACCUUUCACAUUAAGCUCUUCAAUUUACCUGGAAUUGAUUUUUUUUUUUUUGUAUGGUGUGAGGUUUGUUUUUCACCCUUACAGGGAGCCAUUGUCCCAGGGCCAGUGGUGGAAAAGACCAUCCUUUCUCUGCUUCAAGGCAUUGUCUGAUA
ensembl:lncRNA